ACAAAUCGGAGGGAAAGAGAGUUCUAAGCAUAACUCAGAUCUACAAAAUCACAAACCAUACCUAUAAAAACCAGUUUGAAUCAAAGGAGGCUAUGAAGGGCAAUUUGAACCAAAGGAGGGAUGACUAUGUCAAUGUAUGAAAAGGGAAUGGAGUAGAGAGUUGCAUAAAUUAAUUGCAGCUGAGGCUUCUCUUAGUCCAGACCUUGUGUAUCGUUGUAUUGGUUAUAUUUCUAAAUCUAUGAUUCCCAUGGCUAAUAUAGUUAAUACUCAUCUUUAAGGAAAGUGUUGUCAAUGCUUAGCCAUAUACUUUCCAAUGCUAAAUUUCCUUGUAAGACUUCAGCAAUCUGACUCAUUUUUUGUCGAUAUUUUGCAGGUUUAUAUACACAUGCCGCAGCACAAUGAAUCAUUCGAAUCAUUUCUAUUUUUCUAUAAUUAUUUUGUAAUUUGACAUCAAUAAUAUUAUUAUAAUUGUGAGUAUCCAAAGCUUGUCUGAGUUGAGCUGCAACCCAAGAAGUCAAGGAUGCAGAUGGAUUGAAUUCCGUUGCAGUAGCUUGUUUCCCAGUAAUCAACUCCAGAAGUACAACACCGAAGCAAUACACGUCGGUCUUGUCACUUAGCAGGCCAGUUCUGCAAUAUUCAGGGCAAAGAUAGCCAGAGGUUCCCUUUACCGCAGUAGACAUAUGGGAAAAAGAUGAAUUUGAAAAUUCCUUGGCAAGUCCAAAAUCUGAAAUCUUUGGUUCAAAGUUUUGAUCAAGAAGGAUAUUGCCUGCAGUGAUAUUCCUGUGUAUGAUCUUUGGAUUACAGAUUUCAUGCAAAUAUGCCAAUCCUUUUGCAGAACCUACGGCAAUUUUCAUUCUGGUUGGCCAAUUGAUAACCACUCUGUUGUCCUGUUCAUGUAAAUAAUAUCGCAAGGAAUUGUUGGGAAUAAACUCAUAAAUAAGCAAUCUAUUGGCUUUCUCAUUGCAGUAUCCAAUCAGCUUCACUAGAUGUCGGUGAUGGAUGCGGUCAAGCAUCCCAAUCUUUGCCAUUAAUUCAUUUUCCCCUUGUCCAAACGUAUGUUUAAGCUUCUUAAUUGCAACAACCAUACCAUUUGGAAGCGUUCCCUUAAAAACUUGACCAAAACCACCUUCGCCAAGGAGAUUGACAUUGGAAAAGCCACCAGUUGUUUUUGCUAAUUCUUUAUAAGUAAAUACUUUUAACGGAGUAAUUCGUAUCCUCUCAACACUAAGUACAGAUUCUAGAUUAGUAGUAGGCCUUCCUCGAAGAGUUUCGAUGUCUUUCCAAUUCAUUAUCUUCACAUGAGGUAUAGUUCCUUCAAGAACUCUAAUUAUCUCUAUUGAUUAUCAUUUUAUACGUUUGAGUCCAUUAAUGAGAAUGUUGCACAUCUUUUUAGUUCCUCUUUAUCCUGUUUCAUUAUUGGUCGAGAGCGAGAAGGUUUAUACACUGAAGCUGCAGCACAACAAAUCAUUCUUAUCAUUUCCUCCUCAUUGUACUCUCGUAAUCUGGAAUCAACAAGAUCAGUAUAUUCAUUAUUUUCCAAUGCUUGUCCAAUCCGAUCCUUAGCCCAAUUAAUAAUAGUGUCCCCUCGAUUAUCUAAAGGUUUUCUUCCAGUAAUUAAUUCUAAAAGUACAACACCAAAAGAAUAUACAUCUGAUUUCUCAGACACUCUUUGAAUAUCACCAUAUUCUGGAUCUGCAUAAACAUUUGUUCCCCUCAAUAUACUGGUGAUGUGAUUAACAUUACCAGUAUUUGGCAGAAAAUUCGCAAGCGAAAAAUCUGCAACCUUUGGUUCAAAGUCAUUAUCAAGAAGAAUAUUAUCUGCUUUGAUAUCUCGAUGUAUAAUUUUAGGUUUGCCUUGAUGUAGAUAUAACAAUCCUUUUGCAGAGUGCAUGGCAAUAUUCAUUCUCUUCGGCCAUUCUAAAAUUUUAUUUUUUUCGUGUAAAUGAUCUGUCAAGGUAUUAUUGGGAACGAACUCUAGAACAAGUAAUCUAUCGGCUCCCUGCGUGCAAUGCCCAAUCAUCUUAACAAUAUUU
rnacentral:misc_RNA from 1 species